rnacentral:misc_RNA from 1 species
AAAAUGUAACUCCCUACCCUGUCGAUUCGCCCAUACUUGCCAAGCCUGUAGUGGACCCCACCCCCGAUUUCAGUGUAGAAACAUGUCUUCCAAAUCUAUCACAUCAAACAGGAAUGGCGCUGGUUCUUCCAACUCCAGUAAACCCGUUAAGACUUCACAAUGAACUAUUAGGUUAUGAGGCAGAUGAAUUAAAAUUGUUAGUGAAUGGCUUUACAUUUGGGUGUAGAUGAGGCUGUGUUAAGUCCCCUUCCAUUCAUCCUCCUCAUAAUCAUAAGUCUACAUAUGAGCACCCAGAAGUUAUUGAAGAUUACAUUCAUACGGGUUUAAGUAAGCAGAGGAUAGCUGGCCCAUUCACAAGACCCCCUUUACCUCUUUUUAAAACUUCUCCUCUGGGGGUUGUACCAAAAUCCGAGCAAAACAAGUUUCGAAUCAUUCAUGAUUUAUCCUUUCCUGCUCAGGACUCAGUUAAUUCUAAUAUACCUAGGGAAUACUCUCAGGUUCAUUAUGUUUCAAUUGAUACGAUACUCAGUUUGGUGUAUCAGUAUGGGAUGGGUUCACUUAUGGCUAAAACAGAUAUAAAGGAUGCCUUCAGAAUAAUCCCCGUGAACCCAAAGGAUUAUCAUUUUUUGGGUUUUACUUGGAAAGGUCAGUUCUACGACGAACGCUGUUUGCCACUGGGGACAAGUAGCUCUUGUCAAAUAUUUGAGAAGUUAGGUACAGCACUUCAAUGGGUUAUGUUAAACAAGCUAGAAGCAGGGGGUAUGUCUCAUAUAUUGGAUGAUUUCUUUUUUAUUGGACCUCCUCAGUCUGAAAAAUGUAAAAAUCAUUUGAUGAAUUUGUUUGAUUUAUGUGGAAGGAUUAAUAUUCCAAUUAAUGAUAAGAAAACUUUCUGGCCAGUAACAUUCAUCACCAUUUAUGGUAUUUUAGGUUGAUUCUAUUGAUAUGAUGAGUCCGCUGCCACCAGACAAAUUAGAAUUAUGUAGGACUCUUGUAUAUCAGUUUAGUAGGCGUAAAAAAGUUACUUUGCAGGAGCUUCAAUCAUUAAUUGGAGUCUUAAAUUUUGCUUGUUUGGUAGUAGUUCAUGGUAGGGCAUUUUUACGUCGUUUGAUUGACUUGACUAUAGGUGUGAAAAAACCUUAUUAUCGAAAAAAAAUUUAAUAAUGAGGUAAGAGCUGAUUUAGCCAUGUGGCUAGAUUUUCUUCAAAAUUUCAAUGGAAAAUCAGUUCUUUUUCCAGAGGAAUGGGAAUCUUCAGAUGUCACGCGACUAUUUACAGAUGCUUCUGGUUUUGUUAGGAUUUGCUGCUGUGUUUGGUUCAAAAUGGUUUGCUGAUGAGUGGACACAAACUCUACCUUUGCAAAUUGCUGUAAAAAAUUGUUUCCAAUUGUUUUGGUUUUGGAAAUUUGGGGUUCAGAGAUGGCAAAUAGAAAAAUCUUAUUUAUGUCAGAUAAUAUGGCAGUGGUAGAAGUAAUCAAUAAACAGUCAAAAAAGGAAAAGUGCCUCAUGCAUCUACUUCGGCGUUUUCGGAUAGUGGCAGCAACACAUGCUGCACAGUUAGGCUAUUCUGAGAGUUUUAUUCAGCAUUUAGGCUGCUGGAACCCCAAUGCAUUACACAUAUAUAUUAGAAUACAAUCGUUUCAACUGUAAUUAUUUGUAUCUACAUUCUUUCUUACCCCUGCAGUUUAUGUAUAGCAGGCUAGUGAUUAACUGCUGCUAUUGAUCUGUACCAAAAAUGUCCUUAUGUUUGUUACUUUUUCCAUAAGAAUCUUGUGCGUAAAAUAAGGAGGGUGUCUCAAUUAAUUUUGUUAGUUAUAGUAUGUUUACAGGUGUAGUAAUUUGUAAUGAUAGGUCAGUGUUUAACUGCUAUUUUUUAGUUGCACAUUGUGUCUUUAGAAAUUGUUAGUACAACUUUAUAGUUAGUCUAUUAGAGUGCCUGCGGGUUAUCACCUUGGAAUUGCCAUUCAUGUUACAUUUGUACGGGUUAUAGUAUAAUGAAUUAUAUGCACUUAUUGCCAGGUCAGUGUGUAACUGCUGGUAACAGUAUGCCAAGUCAGUGUUUAACUGUUGGUACAUUUGACUAUAAACUGUGAUUUGUGUAUGUGUUCACAUCAGCAUCAACAAGUGCACAACUCACCUUGGAUGGCACAAUGGAAUUGCCAAUUGUCAUUAUGCAAUUCACAUUUGGUUGCAUAUUUUAUUUUUGAGGUGCCAUCUUUUUGCUGUUUUUGUAUAUAUUGUAUAUAAUUUUGAACAAAAUAUUGUUUUUCUGUAUUUUAAGGGGAUCAGCAUAUUGAUAAGUUAUUUAACAUUUUGUGUGAACAGUUUUGGGUCUGAUCCCCUACUAUGUUGUUUAUAUUUUUCUUUACUUUCGUCAUUUUUAAUAAAUGACAUAUUUCAUCAUGCACAAGUGUUGAGUUCAUUUAUCAGACAGCAAAAACGGAGCUGCGGCGAGGUUGUGCAGCAUGAGAAAACAUAAAACAACAAUUAUGUUAAUAAUUGUAUUUAUGUGUUGAAUGCUAUAAUUUUAUUUGCUGAUUUAUUGUAUUUUUCUUUUUUUAUGUUUGAUUAGAUAAGUUGCAUUUCUUUCCCAGGCCUUGUAGAGGUCGUUGGCCAUAUUAUGUAAUUUCCCUGCAGUGGUCACUGUCCAUGUCUAUUUUUAGCCCAAAUUCCUAGUCUAAAAACCUCCCAGUGACCUAUUAUGUAAUUGCUAAAAAUUCCAUGGUGUAAUUCUCCCCAAAUUUAAUUUAAUAGCCAAUCAAAUUAAGCGCUACGGUCACGUGGUUUGAUGCGGUCAGUAUCUGACCAGUGAGAGUAGGGUCAUUCUGUCUUCAUCUAUGAGAGUGUUAGCACGAGUAAUGUUUUGAUACACCCACCACCAUCCCCGUUUCUCCACUCCAAUAUUCGAAAGUUGCAUACAUGUACAAAAUAUUGUUAUUUUGCAUAUGGCAUAUUUUAUUUUUGAGGUGCCAUCUUUUUGCUGUUUUUGUAUAUAUUGUAUAUAAUUUUGAACAAAAUAUUGUUUUUCUGUAUUUUAAGGGGAUCAGCAUAUUGAUAAGUUAUUUAACAUUUUGUGUGAACAGUUUUGGGUCUGAUCCCCUACUAUGUUGUUUAUAUUUUUCUUUACUUUCGUCAUUUUUAAUAAAUGACAUAUUUCAUCAUG